GAUGAACGCUGGCGGCGUGCCUAAUACAUGCAAGUCGAGCGAACGGACGAGAAGCUUGCUUUUCUGAUGUUAGCGGCGGACGGGUGAGUAACACGUGGAUAACCUGCCUAUAAGACUGGGAUAACUUCGGGAAACCGGAGCUAAUACCGGAUAAUAUUUUGAACCGCAUGGUUCAAACGUGAAAGACGGUCUUGCUGUCACUUAUCGAUGGAUCCGCGCUGCAUUAGCUAGUUGGUAAGGUAACGGCUUACCAAGGCAACGAUGCAUAGCCGACCUGAGAGGGUGAUCGGCCACACUGGAACUGAGACACGGUCCAGACUCCUAAGGGAGGCAGCAGUAGGGAAUCUUCCGCAAAGGGCGAAAGCCUGACGGAGCAACGCCGCGUGAGUGAUGAAGGUCUUCGGAUCGUAAAACUCUGUUAUUAGGGAAGAACAUAUGUGUAAGUAACUGUGCACAUCUUGACGGUACCUAAUCAGAAAGCCACGGCUAACUACGUG
rnacentral:rRNA from 1 species